rnacentral:rRNA from 1 species
CCUACGGGAGGCAGCAGUCGAGAAUCAUUCACAAUGGGGGAAACCCUGAUGGUGCGACGCCGCGUGGGGGAAUGAAGGUCUUCGGAUUGUAAACCCCUGUCAUGUGGGAGCAAAUUAAAAAGAUAGUACCACAAGAGGAAGAGACGGCUAACUCUGUGCCAGCAGCCGCGGUAAGACAGAGGUCUCAAGCGUUGUUCGGAAUCACUGGGCGUAAAGCGUGCGUAGGCUGUUUCGUAAGUCGUGUGUGAAAGGCGCGGGCUCAACCCGCGGACGGCACAUGAUGCUGCGAGACUAGAGUAAUGGAGGGGGAACCGGAAUUCUCGGUGUAGCAGUGAAAUGCGUAGAUAUCGAGAGGAACACUCGUGGCGAAGGCGGGUUCCUGGACAUUAACUGACGCUGAGGCACGAAGGCCAGGGGAGCGAAAGGGAUUAGAUACCCUAGUAGUC